AUCUUUCUAGUACUCAAAUUAGUAUAAGUGGCUUCCAACCACUUGGUCUUGGUUAAACCCCAAGGAAAGAUA
rnacentral:tRNA from 1 species